UACAGAGGUCCCGAGCGUUGUUCGGAUUCACUGGGCGUAAAGGGUGCGUAGGUGGUCGGGUAAGUCCGAGGUGAAAUCUCCAAGCUUAACUUGGAAACUGCCUUGGAUACUAUUCGGCUGGAGGGUUGGAGGGGGGACUGGAAUGCUUGGUGUAGCAGUGAAAUGCGUAGAUAUCAAGCGGAACACCAGUGGCGAAGGCGAGUCCCUGGACAACUCCUGACGCUGAGGCUCGAAGGCCAGGGUAGCGAAAGGG
rnacentral:rRNA from 1 species